rnacentral:rRNA from 1 species
AGAGUUUGAUCCUGGCUCAGGACGAACGCUGGCGGCGUGCUUAACACAUGCAAGUCGAGCGGUAAGGCCCUUUCGGGGGUACACGAGCGGCGAACGGGUGAGUAACACGUGAGUGACCUGCCCUCAGCUCUGGGAUAAGCCUGGGAAACUGGGUCUAAUACCGGAUAUGACCUUGCCUCGCAUGGGGUUGGGUGGAAAGUUUUUCGGCUGAGGAUGGGCCCGCGGCCUAUCAGCUUGUUGGUGGGGUGAUGGCCUACCAAGGCGACGACGGGUAGCCGGCCUGAGAGGGCGACCGGCCACACUGGGACUGAGACACGGCCCAGACUCCUACGGGAGGCAGCAGUGGGGAAUAUUGCGCAAUGGGCGAAAGCCUGACGCAGCGACGCCGCGUGGGGGAUGACGGCCUUCGGGUUGUAAACCUCUUUCGACCGGGACGAAGCGAGAGUGACGGUACCGGUAGAAGAAGCACCGGCCAACUACGUGCCAGCAGCCGCGGUAAUACGUAGGGUGCGAGCGUUGUCCGGAAUUAUUGGGCGUAAAGAGCUCGUAGGCGGUGUGUCACGUCGGUCGUGAAAACUUGGGGCUCAACCCUGAGCUUGCGGUCGAUACGGGCAUCACUUGAGUUCGGUAGGGGAGACUGGAAUUCCUGGUGUAGCGGUGAAAUGCGCAGAUAUCAGGAGGAACACCGGUGGCGAAGGCGGGUCUCUGGGCCGAUACUGACGCUGAGGAGCGAAAGCGUGGGGAGCGAACAGGAUUAGAUACCCUAGUAGUCC